rnacentral:lncRNA from 1 species
AUAAAGAGACAUGCUAAGAAGUUUGUCUAUGAAAUAACAGCUGAAUUCAGUACUUAAAAUCUAGUCAAAACUAAUACUUAGAAAAUUAAAUCUAGUUGUCAUCCGUCAAAAUUGAAACAUCAAGAAAGAAGAAAACCAGUAAUAAGUCUCAUCAUUCUGAAGGUAAAUUAAAAGCAGUUAAAAGAUUAUACCUCGUCAAGGGAAAAUCAAUCAAAUAACAAGAUAAGAACGCGUUUCGAACCUGACCUCCCAGGUCCCAGAACAUAAGUUUUGUGUUUGACAAUUCAACUCGACCAAUGUUGAGUCCUACAGUUGGAACAAUUCGAUCAGCAGGAAGCCCUUCCACAUUACAAUAUUGUGACUUCAAUUUCUCCAGUACUGUCUGCAAAUUUACAUUCCAAAUGAGUUUAAAACAAUUACAGAUAUUAGAGUUGACUACAAACAGGCAACAUGCAGAGCUUAUAUACUUUUACAAAAGACAAGAUGGCAUGUCUCUGUGGAUACGAAGCAAGAAUGUGGAGGGGUGAGGGGGUUUGACAUCAUAAUUCCAUAGAUUGUUCUAUAUUCAAGUAUCAACUCAUCCAUCGAUUGAUGUAGAUGAGAAUAACAAUCCUGGAAAACCUUGUGUUUGCAGAAAACGAAUAAUACUGGAGCAUGUUACCGUUUUUCCAGCCUUGUCGAUUCCGAGAAUGAGAACAUGAAACUCUGUCUUGCUGAAGGCAUACUUCCACAGUCCAUAAAAUAGAGAAAACAUUUCUCUCUUGUUUUAUUUACUCUGUUAUAACUUUUAUUAGGGUUGCUUAAUUUGACCGAUACUAACAUUGCUCAUUCUUUGACUCUAAGAUUUUCCUGUUAUUUAUUGUGUAUCAGAAGUGUUACUAAUUUGCAUAGAGACUUUAGAUGCAUUAUAUUUUAUUAGAAAAUUUUCAUUUGAGGUCCCUAAACUCUGAUAAAUGGUGCAAGUAUGUUCUCCACCAACUAAAUAGAGCACCUGGCCCCCAACUUUCAUAAAUGUGCCCCCAACUUUCAUAAAUGUGCACGUUUUUUGUCAGGUGGGACUCUGCUGUCACAUUUAGGUGAUCUUAUUCAUGUGUGAAGACUCCAACCGAGAUUUUUUCUCUAAUAAAAUAUUAUGUAUAGUCAGCCACACAAGUUUCUUUAAACAAAGGAGUAGUUGAUCGUCCAUGGCUAUACAUUUGAAUUCAAUAAUGGAGAAAAAUAUUCCAAAAAGGUGACUGGACUUUUGAGUAUUUACAAAUUAUAUAAUGCACCAUCACCUCCCAGUUCUUCUCGCUCAGGCUCAACCACUGAAACAAUGGCCCUGCAAUUAUGGGAGGCCCUCAAGGAAUCGAUAACAGCAUACACAGGUCUAUCUCCGUCCACUUUCUUUUCAGUUCUUUCUUUGGGGCUUACCCUUUACUACAUGGUCUCAAAUCUAUUUGGGUCCUCCGAUGAUGGGCCGGGGUCUUACCAAGAAAGGUCCAAAGAACCCGAAGAGAAGGUGCAGCCUCUCCCUCCUCCGGUUCAGCUUGGGGAUAUCGCUGAUGAGGAGUUGAAGCAGUAUGAUGGGUCUGAUAAAAGUAAACCUUUGCUCAUGGCUAUCAAGGGUCAGAUCUAUGAUGUUUCACAGAGCAGGUAUAUCUGGAUUUUAUCAAGAUCAUUUUCAGAUGUAUUGAGGUUAAAGUAACUGAAAUUUCAACACAUAAGAUCAUUUGUUGGGUUACAGGUUGUUUUAUGGACCAGGAGGACCUUAUGCUUUGUUUGCCGGAAAAGAUGCGAGUCGAGCUCUUGCAAAGAUGUCCUUUGAAAAAAAUGAUCUUAAUGGCGAUCUUACUGGCCUUGGUGCAUUUGAGCUCGAGGCCUUGCAAGAUUGGGAGUACAAGUUCAUGAGCAAAUACGUCAAGGUUGGAACUGUCAAGUCGAGCAUACAAGUGACUGAUGGUCCUGAAAUCGAUUCUGCUAAGCCGACAGAAGAUGCUCAGUCAGUAAGUUCUGUCCCGGAAAUUGUGGAAGCCGUGCCCAAUGUUGAUGCGGAUAAGAAAGAGUCCGGAAAUUGUGGAAGCCGUGCCCAAUGUUGAUGCGGAUAAGAAAGAGUGAUUUUCGUCAAGGGGCGAGCCAUUAUUCGUGGAGGUGUUAGUAGAUCACAAUAUUUGGCUGCCUGCAUUUAUAGAUGUUCGUCUUUAGAGUAAGAUACACCUUGUAUAAUUGAACUUAUUGAACAUCCAGUUUGUUGUAUUAAAUAAUGGACUUUGCUACAUGAACAUUGGGGACUACAUAAAGGUGUUUAUAAUGAACACCCGGCACCUCGACAUUGGCCGAGGUGCUUGCCACGUAAGGGUCCACAGGCACCUCGGCCAAUGAAGAGGCGCCAGUUGUCCAUUAUGGACACCCGAAUGUAGUUUCCAAUGUACAACAAGCAUAAUCCUUAAAUAAUAAUGUUGUUAUGUCGUUAUUUCUUGGGGGGAUUUUACAUAAUAUUGUCCUUCUGGAAAGAACAAAUUUAUGGUGGCAAUUUGCAACUAUUUGACAAAUUUAUGGUGGCAAUUUGCUACUAUUUGGCGUUUUUGGUUUUAAUAAUUUUUAUUAAGCUUGGACUUGCAAAUCUCGACUAAGGUUAAUUAAACUUGUUCUACUUUCAUACCUUAAUUAGCCGACCUAUACCCCAAACAGGAAAGAACCGGUCCUCAUGAUGCAGUGAGAACUAAGAAGACGAUCUUUGUCCACAAAUUUAAACCGGUUUAGUUCGUAAAUAAUAGAAAAUCUGUAAGACAGUUUUCUAUCUUAACAUUACCAAAAAGAUGAAAAAAAAAAAAAAAAAAAAAAAAGGUCUAAAGCAUAAUGAAUUCCAGAUUAUUUUUAAGAUUCAAACUAUUUCAACAUCAGAAGUCAUAGGUCAUUAAAAAUACUCCACUAAUAAUCAGAAUCAAGAGGUUUUUUACUUACCCAUCAAUUGCUGAAACAGCUUGAAAUGUGUAAAGUCUCUCAUCCAAUUUUUUGAGGUCCAGAUACCGAGAAAGUUCUUCUGCGGAUGCAGCUUCUGCACGAUCCUGAAAAUAAAUAUGUAGUCAUCGAAGUGGAGCAAUGUCUUUCACUUUUGCACUCACAAUUUGUUAGGUUAGAUGCAAAUAUGAUGAUAAUUUUCAAGUUUCUAUAGUUUUCCACUUUGCAAAGUGGUGCCAGAAACAGAGGUGGAUCUUCCAAGCUAAUGAGAGCAACUAUCGAAUAACAUGUGCUGGCUGCAGACACGGAUAUACCGAUGCAAAAUUUUCAAGUAGGAAGUAGAUGCUUGGAGACACGUUUAUGAAAAUAUUACAGUUAAAUAUAUUAUAUUUACAUUUUAUUUCUUUUUUUAUUUAAAUGGGGAAAAAAAACUUUUGCUCAGUUUCGAUUUUUAACCUUUUGAUCACGAGUGACUAUUUGUAGUACUUAAAAUCUCUAGUAAGACUGUAUUAAAUAAUUGCAAUAGUAGAUAUAAAUAGAUAAAACACGAACCUCAUACAAUUUUUUUCCUUUGCAUUCUGUUUAUUAUUUUAUACAAAUUAUUUAAUAAAAUAAAAUAUUUCCUACUUUUAUAUUCUAAAAUCAACAAAAUUGGGCUUGUCUUGUUGAGGAAAUGUGCCUCACUGCCAGAAAGUAAAAGAGCCUAAAAAUAUAGUACAAACAAUGUAGAAUGGUGGCUGUAUGUCAUUAAAGUAUCCAUGGUACAAACUGAAAAAAGUAGAACAGCCUACGUGGUGUAUCGAACAAUCCUCAAGUCUACAAGGAGUAUUGAUGUUUCAUACGCAUCGGUUCUGUUUCAUAGAAUGACACAAUUUGAUUGAUAAUAGAAACAUCAACUAGAAAGAUGCAAGAAGUCUAUCACAAUCAAUAUUGGGCAAUAGAAUCUAUGCUCUCUCACAAUGCACAUUGGAAAAACGCAAAAGGGGAAAAGUAAAGUAGAUUUUCCUUCACAAUUCAUUUGCUUUAGGUCAAUGCUAAGUUGCUAACUUAGUGGGUGACAGAAGGAACAGCUUACCUGUUUGUUUGCUAUUAUCAAAAGUGGGGCUCCUUGCAAAUCCUCAUGCUGAAGAACCUUCUCUGAACAUCAUAUUGAAAAUAAGGUCAGAAACAGGUCACAAAAUCAAUUAAAAAGACCACAAUUGUAACAUGAAUCAUCAUCAGUCAAGUCAACAUACACUUCUCCCUAGCAAUGCUUACCGAGUGCAGAUUUUGAAUCUUCAAAACGAGAAGGGCUAGCCGCAUCAACUACAUAAAUCACCGCAUGUGCCUCUUCAUAAUAUUUCUCCCAAAUUGAGCGAAGUCCAGGCUGAUGAAACAUAAUACUUUCCAUCAGUGGUAGAACUCUCAGGAUGAAGUAAACAUAAAUAAAGAGACAUGCUAAGAAGUUUGUCUAUGAAAUAACAGCUGAAUUCAGUACUUAAAAUCUAGUCAAAACUAAUACUUAGAAAAUUAAAUCUAGUUGUCAUCCGUCAAAAUUGAAACAUCAAGAAAGAAGAAAACCAGUAAUAAGUCUCAUCAUUCUGAAGGUAAAUUAAAAGCAGUUAAAAGAUUAUACCUCGUCAAGGGAAAAUCAAUCAAAUAACAAGAUAAGAACGCGUUUCGAACCUGACCUCCCAGGUCCCAGAAUAUAAGUUUUGUGUUUGACAAUUCAACUCGACCAAUGUUGAGUCCUACAGUUGGAACAAUUCGAUCAGCAGGAAGCCCUUCCACAUU